AAGCAUGCAUCAGCCACAUCCAUGCUAUCUCCUAAAGCAGUCAUUCUGAAACCCAAUCUGGGGAUAGUGCAGACUAAAUAAAAUUUCAUUUUGAUUUGGCCUCCUGCUGAGAAUGGGACUGCUUUGUUUCAGCCGACAGAACCAGCAAGCCAGAAAGGUCUUGUUUCAAAAAUACAGAAGCUGUUUCUGACCUAAUUGAUCAAAAAUGCUUUUCUUCUGGAAAGAGUGCAAAAUGUCUUCUUUUCAAGGCAAAUGACUGUGGGGACUGGUGAGAGAGACAAAGAAAGGGUCAUUGUGGUGAAGGAAAUAUUUUUAUCUAGGCCUCAGGAAACGGUGGUCUGGCUAGUGACUGCAGUGCUGCGGACAGUUACAUGCACAGUAUUCACUCAGGGCAAAGUAUGAGGCACUCAUCUGCCCCUAAACUCCUAGACUACAAGAACUAAUGUCAAUAUCCACCUGGAAAUUCCUAGUGAGGAAGGACUGUGGAAGCUACCACCCUGAAACUACCCUUCAAACUCAAGCGAGGGAAAAAAGUACUGCUGGGAGAAGAAGAAAAACGUGACACUGGACAAAGAUGGUUGCGUAUAAUGAUUCAGAUUUGGAUUUGGCUUGCUUGAUGCUGACGAUUAAUGAAGGAAGCCCUAACUGGACAAAGAAAAGGAUUGACAAUAAGAUGUGGAUGUCAUCUUUAAUGAACUCCAGUCACCAAGUGAAACAUCAGCUAAUUUUUGAUGAUGCAACAGACCACCUUCUCAGCAAUAGCUGAAUAUUUACUCCUUCAC